rnacentral:rRNA from 1 species
AUACGGAGGGUGCAAGCGUUAAUCGGAAUUACUGGGCGUAAAGCGUACGUAGGCGGCAAGUUAAGUUAGAUGUGAAAGCCCCGGGCUCAACCUGGGAACUGCAUUUAAAACUGGCUUGCUAGAGUUGAGUAGAGGGGAGUGGAAUUUCAGGUGUAGCGGUGAAAUGCGUAGAGAUCUGAAGGAACACCAGUGGCGAAGGCGACUCCCUGGACUCGAACUGACGCUGAGGUACGAAAGCGUGGGUAGCAAACGGGAUUAGAAACCCUAGUAGUCC